UCCCCAUCACAAUAAACAGGUGUAAUACUGAUACGACUAUGAGACAGGCAUAAUUGUUGCGUCUUUUCUUAGGUGGGGAAACUGAGGAUCUUAUGUCCUAGCCAGCAUGCCUGACAAAGAGGACACAGCAAGAAGGUGGCUGUCUACAAGACAGGAAAAGAGCCCUCACCAGGAACUGAUUCUGCCAGUGCCUUGAUCUUCAACAUCCCAGCCUCUGGAACUGUGAGAAAAUUUUUGUUGUUUCAGCUACCCAAUAUACAAUAUUUUGUCCAUGGCAGCUCGAGCAGACUAAGACAGUAGCACUAUUUUGUUAACCAUAUUUUGAAAUUGAUAAUAGUGAUUUUGUACUGACAAUGUGGGGAGGAAAGUUGCUAAACAGCUAUAAUAUUUCAACAAUGAAACAACAGCUUUUCUGAAAAUCAUAGGAUAGGAGAUCAUAUUGCUUGAUAGCUUGGAAAACCAUUUACAGGAAGAAUAAACUUACUAAAAGAGGACACCAAUUUUUGUUUAACUAUAAAGUAGAUGCUUGAGACAUGUGGCUAAAUAAAUGGACCAAAAUAUAUAAAGAAACAAUGACCCAUAUUUCUUAGAACAUAGCUGUAAUUUUCCAAUAGACAGUAAAAGGGAAGUGAUGACACUUCACUCAGUAUUGGGUUGAAUCAUAUUAAAAGUAACAUUUUG
rnacentral:lncRNA from 1 species